GACAAGAAGAAAGCUGCUUUCACCUUGUCCCCAGAUGUUUUCACCAGGCAGCCUGUCCCCAAACUGCAAAGGCACAGUUCCCAAUCUCUUCUCUGACAUCACAUCAUCUUGUUGCCAAGAGACACCAGCUCCGCCCAGCACUGGAAGGCAAUUUUCAAGACCCCGAACUGAACUGAAAGCAUUGAGAAGUUUCCCAUUAUAACAAGAAAAUAACUCCUCACGUUGGAAAAAAUACAACUCUUCAGCAUUAAGGAAGAAGGGAAACAGCCACCGUGCCACCGGGGAGCCUUCUCCUCUCCAGGUUACACAGCCCCUUAUAAAACUUCCUACCUUGAUCAUUUUGGGGAGGAACCAAGAUCCAAAGGAAAGAACACAGGAGUUGAAAGGCAUGCGUGUCUGAAGGCAUCACAGAGGAGGCUGCCAACGCUCACUGUUUCCUGGGAGCAUCCCAUCAAUGAAUGUCGUCGGUCGGCGGCCCGCAGAGUGAAGACUCAUGCCCUGCCUGACAUUGCUCCUGAGAUGUGGUUUCUGCACAAGCUGGCUACACAUAUUCAGUUUUACAGUAAGAAGACGCCUCCUAGGCCCUGUGACAUUAAUGACACCACGACAUCUUAUUCUAGUGUUGGUCCAAAUGUCAUUCAUUGAAUAAAUGAUGUCACUAACUGAAUCCAGGGUUGAGGUUUGAAAAAAGACCUGCUUCAUUCAACAAAUAAUAUUUUAGAUAAACAUGAAUUCACUUAUUCUUUAUAAGUGAAUUUUCCUCCCAUAUGAAUGGACUCUCCAUAACUCCUAUAAUAAGGCUGCUAAGCCCAAAUCAGCUUGCGUGCUGUUUAAUAACCAAGAAAUGGUAGGAGACUGUACUUCAUUUACUGGGUGUUUAUUAAGUACCUACUAUGCACAGAGCAUUGUUCAGGUGUUGAGGCCCCAGGAAAUGAACAAAGUGAACUUGUUCCUUGUCUUCUUGGAGUUCACUGCCUAAUAGGACACGGACAAGGUAACAGGCAAUUCUAAUGCUAUGUACCAGGAAAGGGUGACAGUAAGCAGCAGCUGAGAUGCGUUACAAAGCAUCAGCCCUACUCCAGAGGAGGCUUUUCAGCAGAAUACAAUGCCAGCAGAGGCCGGGAGGAUAGAAAGUGUUGUCCUGGCCAGAGGAGGCCGUGAGCCCUGCGCAGGAUGGAAGCGAUAAGGGCUUGGAGGCCGGGGAAGGCCUGAGCGGUCACAGCAUCAGCAGCAGGUUUUCUGCACUGUGGUUUGAACUUAAAAUACAAAGAGGAGUGCUGAGGGCUGGGACUGAAGAGACCCUCCUAGCUGGCCUCACCCAGCCAAGAAGAGAGGAGCACAGCCCCAGCUGUCCCCAGGACCCCCUAGUUUACACAUACUUACGAUGACUCUCUGCUACUUCUGCCUGCCCAGCAACCCAUCCUCUGGCUUCUGACAAUAAAUCAUCAAUUUUCCCUUUGAUGAACUUUCCUGCCCCGUCUCUGUCUAUCAUGGUGGGAUCAGCCCUACCUUUGCUCACAAAAUUUCAGGCCUGAAGAACAGGCACAAAAAUUCAGACCUGAAAACCAAUAUUCCUGCAUCUCCUGGCCAUGUGACUGAUUCAGCAGACAGUAUGUGUCCAAAGACUCACACCCUGAACUUAGUCUGAACUACUGGGGAGGAAGAAUGCUUCCCAUUGGUGGACUGAGACAACAGAAUGUCAACCCAGAGCUCCAGGCAGCCAACUGCUCCCCCGUUCAUUCAUUCAAUGAUAGUUAAAUAAUUAGCUAGUAUGUACCUCAGACUAUAAGCAUUAGGAAUACAGAAAAUUUAAAAAAAAAACAAUUCUUCAUAAGUUUUCACACUCAACUGCAGAGGCAAAUAAAAUCACAUCCUUGAUAAGUGUUAGAGGUUACGUAGAUUAUCAUAGGUGCAGGGAAGGGCAGCCAACUUGGCUUCCUGGGGGAGAAAGUGUUCAUUGAACCUUGUUGGAUAAUUAAAAUUUAUUUGGGUAAGUUGGGGGAAGGGUCCGGAAGAAGAAUCAGGAAGUGCCCAGGCAUGGAGGGGGUGUUCAGAUGAGUGAGUUCUGGUGAUCCUCCACAUUCAGUCAGGCUGGAGGGUGCUGCCACACAGCCAUAUGGGGAAAAAAGUCCCGUCAAGUCAGCACUGACUGAAACAUGGAGGCUUCAGAUCUCUGCGGAAGAUUAAAAGCAGGGGGUAGCAUGAAGAUCACACAAGUCACAAUGUAGAUGGUUUCGGAAUGUGAGGCUGCAGACAAGGUGAACCUUAGGUCGCAAUUACCAUGGUCCUCCUCAAAACAGUGCUCAACCAAAGCACAGGUGAAAAGGGAGCAGACAGUGGGACAGACAGCAGGAAGAAUAAAUAGGAUGUAGAAGUUAGCUGGCCUUCUACAGCUCUGGACUGGUGACUGUAGAUGAUAAUGCCCCUGAUCCAGUGAAAUUCGGUUUAUUGGGAGAAUCAGGUUUUAUGAGCAAAGGUAAUUUCAGGUUGGGCCACAGUAAGUUGAGAUGUCCCCAGGACAAUGUACUAGAGGUGGCUAGGCAGUGACAGUGAGUCAGGAACUCAGGGAGAAGUCUGAGGAGCAUACACUUUGGGUGGGUGGUGUUCAUCUCUUUAUCCGUCGUCUCUUAAUCCUUAAGAUCUAUAUGGAGUUUAUGGAGUAUUGUCAGCAUGUGUCAUAAUUAAAAUCCUGGCUAUGAAUGAGGUUAUCAAGGAUGAGCACAGACUUCAAAAUAAGAAAAGGACACAUUAAGGUAAAAAGCAGAGAAAGAUAGAGAUGCACAAAGACCAAGACGGGAGUCAGAACAGCAUCAGGGCAGCCAAGGAGGAGGGAGUGUCAGAAAGAGGAAGAGAUAGAAAGAACAGAUUUAGUUAGAGAUCAAGUCACAUAAGAAGGGAACGUGUCCACAGGAAUCUAUAAGGUUGGUGAAGGAUCAGGAAAGGGAGAGGAUGGUGGGAAGGGAUUGCGGGUUGCUUGGUUGGUUGGUAUAAAAUGAAAGACUCUUGAAUGUGUUUUUACACAAGAUGGAAGAUCUGGCAUAAAGGAGAGGCCGAGAUGCAAGAGGAAUAGCAGAGUAAUGAGCAUGGUGGUCCCUGCGAGGCUGAUGGGGAUGGAUGGUCAGGAGAAGGGCUGUGCCCCAGGUCGAGAAGUACACCUCUGCCUUUGAGAAGGGAGGAAGGCAGCAAGAGAUAGGAGAAUGGCCAUGUAGAUAAUUGUGUGAACUAGGCUAAGCAAGGUUGAUGGGGAAACAGUAUAUAUAAUAAUCAUGUUAAAGAAAUCCGUUUCAUCUAUCAUUUCUCUUAAAACGUGAAACUCCCACAGUUUCCAUCAAGAAUGACUAAGCUGAUGGUGAGGGGUCUUGAAAAGCUAAGAUGCACCACACAGUCACGUGGUGGGCAGAUUCUAUUCUAUUUGAAACCACAGCCUGCCUUAUUUUUUGACUCAAGUUAAAUUUUUUUCAAACAUAAGCCUGUCGGUCAUGCCUAUUUUAAGCAAUUUCAUUUUCCUUGGUGUCGGGCUUUCUUAUCUUUGUCCUUCAAAUUCAGCAUCAGUAGAGAUACUCGUUCCAAUCACUAACCAUUUGAAAAUAGAAGCCAGGCAUUUAAGAUGAUUCCGUGGGGUUAGCUCCUUUAAGAAUCUUUCUCAAAAGCAACCCUUUCUCCUACGAAUGUCUUAUUGUAAGUGGGCCCUUCUAGGAGGAUUCUUCCAGUUUCUGCCAGAGAAUAUCACAAUCUGAUGAGGCCUGGUUGGUGACAGGGGAGACCCAUUGAGUAAGUAAAGCACCCCUCCCAAAAUACAAUGCUGUUUGGAAGCUGUUCCUCAAGGGGAGACUCACACCAGGUGAAGAACCAACUACUGAAGAGGUUAGCCAUUCCCACGCAUCCGUUUUCCUAGCACACAAGCUACAGCCAGAGUGCCAUAUGGUUCAUGGCGUCAAUGCCAGGACCCAAAUCCAGGUCUGCAGCCUACCAGCCUCAUGUUCAUUCCUCCUCUCAUAACACCUGUUUUUCCUGCUGGGACACAAACUCCACGGAGCAGCAACCUCUUCAUCUUAUUCACUUAGGUAUACACAGCAUGGAGGUGACAAUCAGAAAUAGCUGUUGGUCAAUACGUUAACUGCACCUGGGAUGGAGCACUGGUGGUCAUUUGUAAGGUUUCAUGCAGCUCCGGACAUCAAAGAGUCUCACCAGAAAGAAAAAAACAUCACCAACCCAUACACACAUGGUUUAUGGACUCUGAAAUGCCAGGAACUCUGGACAUGACUUCCAGAGUGGAAGUCUUGGGAACAGCAGCCACAGAGCCACCUCUUAGUUAACGGGAUCUGUGCCAGGGUUUCAUUUGUCAUGGAGUUGGCAGGCAUCAGGCCCCUACUCAUCCAUGUAGCUUGAGAACAGAAGUUUCCACAUUGCUUCUAAGUCAGCUUUAACCAGUUUGAAUCCUUCUUAAAAUAUUUAACAGGCCUCUCCUCUCCCCAAACACUGUAGUUGCUAAGCCUCCUUUCAUCUUACCAUAAUCAAACUUGCCUCAAUUUUUAUGUAAUUUUUAUGCACAUUAGCCAUGCAUUCCAUCCCACAGGGGACAGCCCCUGCCAGGGUAUGCGGGUGCUGUACAAAGUUAGGGUUUAAACACGGCAUAGCCUGUCUGAGGUUAGUUUUUACAAAAAAGAUCCUGUUAAGUUCUUCAUUUUGCUGAAACCAUGUGCUGGCUUAAUGCCUUUUUUCUCUGGUUAAGACCUAAGACUUCUCAAAGGAAUGUGCUAGAAGGGUCUCCAGUGGGAAUUGUAUUCCCUCUCAGCAUUUUUCAUUUGGGUUCCGUCUGGGUUAAUUGGUUAAUGGUGAAAAUAAGUACUUACAUCUUUUGCCACUAAAUCAGGAGUUCCUGCUGCUGCUUCUGCUACAUCCCCUCAUGACAGCCUGCUAUUACUCACAGCUGGCAGACACUGUAAAAAGUGAUGCCACGUCAGCCACGCAGAACCUUUCUGCUUCAGCCACAGUUUCCCAACGGAAUGAUUUAGUAUGUAGUUCCCAAGGCUGGAAACAUGACCUGACCACCAUAUUGAGAAGGUCUGAAUUAAAGCAGACACUACUUGAAAUUACAGAAAGAAAGCACAAAUACCUCUUAGGGUAUCUGAGUGAAAACCCCAAGGAGAACAUAAAUAUUACAUUGACUUUUUAAAUAAUCAUGACAGCAGGUUAAUAAUUGACCAAAAAAGGGGUAUCUGCAUUAGAAAUUUAAAGAAAACUUAGGGACUUUUAGCAUUAUGGAUGUUAGUUCAUUAAAAAAUUAUGAAUUUGGGCUGGGAUUGCGGCUCAGCAGUAGAGGGCUCACCUAGCAUGUGUGAGGCCCUGGGUUGGAUCCUCAGCACCACAUGAAAAUAAAUAAAUAAAGGUAUUUUUAAAAAAUAUUAUAUGUGAGUGUCUAUGUAUCCAUACAGAUAAAUGGAUAUAAAAGUUACAUAUCUGGAAAUUAAUAAUGCUUCCUUUGUUUGAGAGAGAAAAUAUGAAAGGGAGUAUUGAUAGAGAUGGAAAUAACUUUUUAAAAGGCUUCAAAAUGAUCUUGUAAAAAAUGAAAAAUAAAAAUAAAAAGG